UGAGAUCAUGCCACUGCACUCCAUCCUGGGCGACAGAGUAAGAUUCUGUCUCAAAUAAAAAGAAAAAAAAAGAAAAGAAAAGAAAAAAAAAUGCAUGAAGCAGGAAGGUGUUGUGAAUGAGCAUUAGUUCAAGUGGACAUCCAUAAAUCUGUUACCAGGUCAUUACCGGCUCCUGCCCUCUGUCAGAACCUCUGCCCCAAAGUAAUUGCUUCCCUUCCAUUCUCUGGGGUGCUCUCACCUUGACUGCCUAUGGAAUCACCUGGGAAAACUUUACAAAAUAAUGCAGUUGAGCCUCCCCCAAUCCAGUGAAAACAGACUGCCUGGGAGUGCGCACAAGUGAUUCUAAUGUGCAGUCUCAGCUGCCCUAGCUUUUCAUGUGAAUGCCAUCUUUGCGCUUGAAUUUCUCAAUGAGCUUACUGCUCUUUACAUCCAACAGGUAAGCUCACUUUCUCAUCAAGAGUCAGAGUUGCUGGACUGUUUUAGAAGCCUAGGUUACAUUGCAACCCAUUUUUUUUCUUUCCUUUUUUUAAAAAAUUUUGUUUGAGAUGAUGUCUUGCCAUGUUGCCUAGGCUGGACUCAAACUUCUGGGCUCAAACUCCCUCUUCAGCCUCCUGAAGAGCUGUGACUAUAGCCACCAUGCCUGGCUUGCAACCUAUUUUGGAAACUAAUGGGUUUUUGUGUAUUUGUGGUAAAUGUGUAUUUACCACAUACUGAGUGCUUUCUAUUUCUCUGGAACUGUGCUAAGUACUUUAUUUGAUUUAAUCCCCCCAAUGACUGUGGGGUCAGCAUCCCUAUCCCUAUUUUACUGAUGAAGAAACAGGCUCAGAGAGACUACGUGGCUUGCUUCAGGUCACUCAGUUUAAAAAGUGCUGAGUGUGGAUUGGGUUCAGAGCUCUCCGACUUAAUGCUCUUAAGCAUCAUUUCAUGCCGUUCAUUCAGGGUCUUGAUCGAAGAGUUGAGGGCCAUUUGGCCACCCACAAUGAACUGGAAGUAAACACGGAGAGGUCGUCACGGUGUCACUCGAGGCACACUUAAGUGGUGUGCCUUGGAGCUGAGUUUCUGUCUUUGUCAAAUGGGGACAGCACUGUUUCGUCUUCUCUGGCUGACAACCUCUUACUCAUCUCUCAAAGGUGCGUCAGUUGUCACAGAAUGGGGAAGCCUGAAAGCUCCUCUGAAUUUCAAGUGACCUCCUGGCUAAAGCAGAAUUAGUCAUGUCCUCCUCUAGCCUCACAGACCACUUGUCCAGGUCUCUGAGAGCAGUCAACAGGAGCCCUACACUUGUCAUGUGAGACACUGGUGCAUCUAUGACCCGGUACUAUUUUGUAGCUAUUUCACUGUCUGCAGAGUCCAGCCUAGGGGCUGGAGCAUGGCAGGGGCCCCUGCAUGUCUGCAAUUUGAGUGAAAGGAUGAGGGUACUGCUCAAACACCAAAGCUUUGGUCAGAGCCUAGGAUGUAAUGACACAAGACCCUUUGGGCAGAGAUAUAUCACUCACAGCCACAGGAUAGUGGUUAGGUACCUGGACUCUGAAUGAAGACUGCCUAGGUUCAAGUCCAGCUCUGCCACUUGUAAGUCGAAUGACCUUGGACAAAUUAUCUCACUUCCCUGCACCUCCCUUUCCUCAUCUGAAAAAAUGGCUGUGUCACAGCCUUGUUAUAAGGAUUGAAUGGGUGGGUGCAGUGGCUUAUACCUGUGAUUCCAGCACUUUGGGAGGCUAAGGUAGGAGGAUCACUUGAGGCCAGGAGUUUGAGAUCAGCCUGGGCAACAUAGUGAGAUCCCGUCUCUACAAAAAAAUGAAAAAAUUGCCAGUCGUGGUGGCUCAUGCCUGUAAUCCCAGCACUUUGAGAGGCCGAGGAGGGUGGAUCACUAGGUCAAGAGUUGGAGAUCAGCCUGGCCAACAUAGUGAAACCCCGUCUCUACCAAAAAUACAAAAAUUAGCCAGGUGUGGUGGCACGUGCCUGUAGUCCCAGCUACUCAGGAGGCUGAGGGAGGAGAAUCGCUUGAACCCAGGAGGCAGUGAGCCAAGACCACGCCAUUGCACUCUAGCCUGGGUGACAGAGUGAGGGGCUCCAUCUCAAAAACAACAACAACAACAAAAAAAACAAAAAAAA
ensembl:lncRNA